rnacentral:tRNA from 1 species
GGGCGAGUGGCGAAACUGGCAGACGCGCCAGAUUUAGGUUCUGGUCCCGCAAGGGGUACAGGUUCAAGUCCUGUCUCGCCCA